CCACAACAACAAUUGUCUAAAAGCCUCUAAAAUGAGAAAUAUCUAAUCACUAGUCGGGACAGAUCCCGUAGUACCAUUAAAUAUAUAUAAACCAAAGUAAACUCUAGACUCGACAACUCCGAAAUGAAUGAAGCAUACCAACCAUUAGCUGAACUCGAUCAUUAUGCGUCAAGAACUUUUUUUUCCUUCUAAUAACCUGCAGGCAUGAAUGCAGUGCCCCCAGGCAAUGGGGACAUCAAUACGAAAGAAGGUACUGAGCAGUAAGGCAUAAAGUGACCAUAUGUAAAAUAAGAGCUUAAAUAAAACCAGAUAUCAAUGUAUAAUCAUAGGCAAGUAUAGAAGAUCACCUUUUCUUAUAAUUGUGGAAUCAUGUACAUUACAUUCAUUACUUUGCUUUACAUUUCUUUAUUUUAUAAACUUAUGGUAUAAUGACCAGCUGAUCAGUGGUAAAUAACAAAUCAGGAUCGGUCCAUGCUAGGCCUAUGCCUCUGAGCUGCCACCUGUAAAUACAUCAACUGGGAUUGGCCCUGCGCAAGGUAUCAAAACCCCUUGGGCUGCCACCCAUAAACAUAUCAACUGGGCUUGGCCCUGUGCUAGGUAUAAGAACCCCUUAGGCUGCCACCCAUAAACACUGAUUUACAUUACUUAGAUUAUUUAACCUUGAGAUUGUUACCUUGGUGAUCAUAAUUCCCUUGAUCUUUUAAAACUGUGGACAUGUGAGGUAGACAUAUAUAUAAAAUACUCGAGGCAACAAUAAUGAUAUAGGGAAUAAAAAGAGACUUAGAUAGGAGACUCUGGAACUCAUAGGGAUCAAUGAACUUUAUUAGACAUAAUGAAUAUACACAAUCGAGCCAUGAAGACGUGUGAUAAGUGAAAAAUCUAGGGAUAUAAAUUAGAACCACUAGGGUGUAUAAAAGAAAAAGAGGCAAAAUAGUUCUAUUUAGAAUAUAAUUCAUUUAAAAUACAUUUAAACAUUCCAUAUGUACGUGUUUCGAAUGGUGACAUGUAACUUCUCAAAUAAAGAGGUACGGACUAUAGAAUAAAUGCUUACAAUAUGAGAAAAAUUAAAAGGGGCACGUGAGCGCGGAAACUACUGAGGCACGUGGAUAGAUUUCAAUUAGAAAUAAUUGGACAUUUCCAUUAAAGACAUAAAAUGUAUACAGCUAAACUAAUGAGCGCGCGACAAGGUCGCAUUAUUCUAACACGACAGAAGUGAUAUCGAAUCAAGGUAUAUGUGAUUGUUAACCAAAUGAUCAAGUAAACAAUUGGAUGGUAUAAUACAACAGACAUUUGAAAUACACUAGCAGGUAACUAGAGUAAAACUUCAAAUUAUACACAAACCUUAGUCUUUUACCAAUAAACAACCUAACCAUAGCUUGAAGAGUCCAGAUAAUAACCUGAUUAAUUAUUUCAGGUUCCUAAAAUAAUAAACAAGUGUAUACAACCUUGACACGCCAUUAAAUAACUCAUUAAUUCUCAAUAACUCCCGCACGUUGAUAUGAAUCAAGGUUAGAAACUAAAGUAACCCGAGUUUGUGCAAACUAUUAAAAAAAAUCCUUAAAACGGUAAAUCUGGACAGCCCCACUAUUUAGCGUUACGACUUAGUUUUAAAUAGGUAUACGGCGGAACCAUGCUUUAUAGUCUUCAUAAAAAUUAUUGGUAUGUAUCUUGGGGUCGCAAAGAGUCACAAUCACUGAAAAAUACAUUUUGUAAAGGAAGCUAUCAUUGAAAUACUAGACAGUAGCACAUAGAGGGUUCCUAAACUAAAGAAUUGGGCAGAACUGGUCUCUCUUGCGUCCACUAUUUCAGAGCCAUAAAAGCAGAAUCAGCUUUUGAUAUAAGAACAUAAGUUGUAGAGCUAUGCGUCAGCUUUCUAAAAUAUUUUUCUAUACUUAGAACGGAUCACUACACACCGAGAUAUGCUAGGUUAACUAAACCCUACACAAUUUCACAACGAUUAUAAUUACUUACUCACACCCUAUGAUAUAUCUAACCCCCAACAUUUUUCCUAUCGGUGUUUUAUUGCAUAUGAACUACUCUUAUGACUGGAGAUUCUCUAUUUCUCUACUUUCAAACUACGCACUAAAUCCAUAUUAACAUGAUCUCUCAACAAGGGAUACCUAUUUCAAAUGAGUGUGAACAAUAUAAUUUAGAGUUUCUACAAGAUGACCCUCAAUAGGAGUACACUCAAUUCGAAAUCUUGAAAUCAAGAAUUUAGUUAACAACAAUACCAAAGUUAUAUUAUGCAAUCACAUAAAAUGCAACGGAUACAUGUAGUGACGGCGUACACACCGACCCCUAACCUCUAAAGGUAUAAGAUACAUGUAGGCAGCCAAUAAGCAAACCAUAUCAGAACAACCAUUUUGACUAACCAACACCCCCUAACUGAAAUAAGUACAUUACGGUGCAGGUCGAUAAGACCAUCAUGAUAUCUGAAACACAUGUAUGUAACUGAAUAGGAAUCCCACCAAUAUCAUUUAUGACCAUCUAUUCCCAUUUCACCACUACAUAAGACGAUAUCCACAACCUUAAUUUGCAUCAAGUUGGUUCUUUAUUCUGCCUUAACUUCCUAAGCAAUGCCACAUUGUUCCUAUAUCGGUAAUGAAUAAGUAACUGAUGCAGUUAUACUCCUAUAUUACAAUUCUAUUACAUUUGUUCACAUAUAUAUGGUCUAUGUUAAAACUGACAAUAGUAAUUUUGUUAUCAAAUGACAUAAGAGUAAACUCGAUUUCUAAAGAAAUUCUCCAGUUAAUUAGAAAAUAUAUUACCCUUGCAAAUUCUCAGUGCCAAAAAUGUUUAAUGAUUGUUGCCUAUUCCCAAACUUAUAACAGACUAGAAAUACUACCUCCUAACAGAAGAGUAGGACCAAAUGGUACAGAAACUAUAAUUCACAAAAAUUAACAUGUAAUCGCAUAACAUUCAGAUUAUGUAAACCAUUUUAGAAAAUGAGAUUUAAAUGCAAAGGACCUCCCAAGAAAGUUAAGUACUAUGACAUGGCACUAACAAAUCAAUCACAUAGUAAACAAUUUGAUACAAUAUCAAAAAUCCCCUGAAUACGAGUGUAUCAAGGAUAAUACUAAUUACUAUGUAAAUACACCCAACACUAGACUAAUUCGAUAUCACGAUAGACCUGGAUGUCAUCAACCUCAGAAAGUCAUGCUAAGAAAAGAAAGGAAUAUCCUUUUCAUACCUCAUUCUAGCCUUCGUAAAGUCACCAUGAGUUCUGUCCGCAAACGUCAAUCACCCAUAUACAUAUAAUCUUACUCAUUAUGCAUUCACUAUAAUAUUAAUGGACUUAUGAAGUUAUGUUGUCAUUCUCUAGAUUCAUAUGCACUAACCAGAAUCGAAUAUAUUACUAAAGAGGACGGGUGCCUAAUACAAUAUCUCAUUCAUGAUAAGUCAAUGACCACCAUAAGUAAGCGUAGGUGAUGAGAAAAAAAAGGAUUAUAUUAAUUUACAUGAUAACUUUAAUUGAGAGACUUCGAUUAACCGACUCUUUAAUAAAAUCUAGACUUUCAAAUCACAAAUAUUAUAAAAUCAUGCCAAAAAAAAGAAAGAAUUAGCCUUAAUAUACCUAGAAUUUGAGCUUGAAUAACUUGUGGAAGAUAGUUGAUUUUCUUUCGGAGAUUAAAUUUAUCAUCAAAAUAAUACUCCUAUGAAAUCAUCUCCAGCCUAUAUGAGUAUACACCAAUAUACAGGAUACUUACCAACUUCUUUAAUGAACAAAAAGGGAAUAAGUGGCCAUUUUUGGCCUAAAAAUAUAUGGAUAUAUAUAAGGAGUAAAAGAAAUAACUUGCUGAAAAUUUGGCUUCACCCAAGUGCUAUUUUAAGUGUUGGAUAGAAACAUAAAUAAAGUAAACUAAAUUAAUGGCGGUGAAGGAUUUUGGAAAGAGAAAG
rnacentral:lncRNA from 1 species